GCCUAGUCGCUCCCCGCUGGCCGGCCGCUCCGUGAGGGCCCCGCAGCGGAGGGUCGGGGCUGGGGCGGGCUGGAGAGGGGGCCCCGGGCUGGGGCCGGUUCGGCCUCCCGGGUGGCGCGCGGGCCGAAGAACUAGGAGGACCGCCGGGCCGGGCCGCUUGUCCUUUGGAAAAACCUUGGCGGUUCCUCCUCUGGUGUCCGUGGACUCCGCCGUGGCGUUCUCCAGGGCCGCGGACCUUUGCCCACCGGUCGCGCCAGCUGUCCUGGAGCAGAAAGGACCCCCUCUCUCCCGGACCGAGCCCCCGAGCCCCCGAGCCCCCACGGAGCAGGCAAGCGCCGGAGUCCCGGGGCUAAGGCCCGGCCGGCGGGCGCUCUGGCACCUUUUCCCGCCCCCGAGGGUGCCUGUCCGGCCCGGCCGGGACUGGCUGGGAAACCGAGGCGGGAAGAGGUCGCAGUCCCGCAAGGAAUCGUUUUUGAGACAGCAUAUUGCUCUAGCGCCCAGGCUGGAGUGCAGUCAUGUCAUCUCAGCUGUUUGUAACUUCCACCUCCUGGGCUCAAGCGAUCCUCUUGCCUCAGCCUCCCAAGUAGCUGGGACUACAAGCAUGUGCCACCUCACCCAGCUAAUUUUGAAACCUGGAGAAACCUCAACUGGAACGUCAAGUAAGCAGAUUCCAGCUCUCUGGGCCCAGGGUGAGAAAAGGAAGUUGUAUGAAAAGAGGAGAAAGGAAAAAAACAGUCUCAUAUUGUGCAACAGGUGAAGUCCCACAUUGCCCCACUUCGAGGAUUCCAUUCUGCCGUUUGUAAUUCCUGACAAGGCAAUUGGGAUCAGAGAGUGGUCCACUGAUGGCGCUCAAUGCCACAGAGCUGAUGAAUGGCACUGCCAAGAUUUGAAUCAAGAUUCAUCUGACUCCAAAGUCCAUUUUCUUUCCAUGCUGUAGUCUCCUGAAUAAACAUAGAGUGUGACCACAAAGAGAACCCGUUGACUGAUAGACUGCUAGGAGCUAUUCCACACUCAAAGACUGAUUAUAUUCGGACUUAAUUCAGGGAAGGGAUAGGGCUAGUCUGUCCUAGGACAAGGAGGGAACGGAGAAGAAAUAAAGAUUUCAAGAUAUUUUCUUGGACCAGCAAAAGAACAGGAUAAAUUAACCAGUAAGAAUCAAGUUUGGAAGACCCAGAUAGAGAAUGUUCUUCUAGUAUAAAAACAGAAUUGAGCUGGGUACAGGGCCUCACACCCAGCACUUUGGGAGGUCAAGGCAGGCAGAUUGCUUGAGCCCAGAAGUUUGAGACCAGCCUGGGGAACAUGGUGAAACACUGUCUCUAUAAAAAACAUACACACAAAAAAAAAACUUGACUGGGAGUGGUGAUACACACCUGUAGUCCCAGCUGCUCAGUAGGCUCAGGUGGGAAGAUCACCUGAGCCCAGGAAAGUCCAGGCUGCAGUGAGUGGUGAUUGUGCCACUGCACUCCAGCUUGUUUGACAGAACGAGACCCUGUCCCAAAAACAAAGCAAAGCAAAGCAAAACAAAACAAAACAGAAUUAUAUACCUAGUAAUGAGUUUAUCUAUGUUACAGGCAAAAUGUGUAAUCUAAGGAUGUGGGUGUGUCCCAGCCAGUCCAUAGGGAAUGCCCAUGCUCAUGUUAAGCCCUGGCUGGUUUGACAGUUGCUGGGCACCUGUACAGAAGGUGAAGCUUACAAAGGCCCUGCAUACAGGAGUGUGCAAGGUUGGACAAAUGAAGGGAAUGAGGAUAAUUGGAUCAAGAUCUCUAUCUGCCUUUAGCUCUACUAUUCCAACCCAACUGCUCACCUUUAACCCCACAUUGUUACCUGCUCUUCUCUGAGAAAGAAAAAAGAAGAGU
ensembl:lincRNA